GGCACAUUUUCCUUUUUCGUAAACUCUCCGGCUCCUCUGCAAAAACCUCCACGUCGAGAGAGAGGAGACGCUUUACUCUCUGGUUAUCGAGAUCUACUCACUGCUUCGGCUUCUUUCCCCCCCGAAUCAGCAAAAAGAUGUUUGAUGAUCAAGACCUGGGCUUCUUUGCCAAUUUUCUUGGCAUCUUUAUUUUUGUAUUGGUAAUAGCAUACCAUUAUGUGAUGGCUGAUCCUAAAUAUGAUGGAAACUAAGGUUUGUUGGCUUCUUGUUAUGGUUUGUUUAGACAUGCAAUGUUUUAGUUACGAGGACUGAGAUAUUUCAUCAAUGGAUAUAACUUGAUUAUGUUAAAAUAGCUAUUUGCAUCUUGUGGGUGCAAUUUUUUUGCUGCUAUUUUCAUAGGUACCUUGUGUUAAAUUAAUUUUCAUGCUGUGAAUGUGAACUGCUAUAGGAAAUUGUGUUAAUAUGACAAUGUUAAAUGAGCUGCUGGUCCAACUAUUUCUUUGGCCAUGGUUUUGGUGCUAGUGGGAAUGCCAUUGUUGUGGUUUGGGUGCAGGUUUGAACAUUUUUUGUUGGAAACCUAUAUAAUGCUCCCCUUAAAGAUUUAAAUUAAGUAUUUCUUACAUGAGAUAUAUAUUAUCCAGACCCAUUCCUACUUUUGCUUCCCUUAUUGUUCAGCCCCAUAAUUUUAAUAUUGAGAGUUGUAUAACUUUGAUGGUGUGGUCAAUUCUGUUAAAGAUUUGGCAAAAAAACUUGAAUUGAAUUCUUUUUGUUUUUCUUUUAAUAUUUGGUUUUGUGGUUUUCAUAUAUAAGCUCACACUUUUGAGACUACAUGGCGGUAAAGAUUUUUAUUUUGUACACAGAGUCUUGAUUUUACAAUAAAUUUCACACAAAUUAAUUUGCCUAGUGGGAUUCCUCCAUGCAAUCUUUGUUGUCUCUGUCAUUAAUAUUACUAAUGCAGAAUCCUAAGCCACUUAAGCAAAGUAUCAUCUAACUCAACUUCUACUCAUCUAAGGAGGCAUUAACCCUGUUAGCUACUUUGAAUUCUCAAGAUGAGAACUCACAAUCUCUGAAAGACUGAAGCUGUUAUGGCCUCUGGACCCACAUUUCAAGAUACAUAUGCAUAUGGUGACUUUCCCGACUCAAUAUCAUGAGUUGUGCUUUUCCUCUACAACUCAUGUUCAAACAUUGCAAGGGACUUUAUCAAAAUCACCUCUUUAAGGCAUCUAAGUGAAGGGCAAAUCUUUUCUUGAAAAUGUUCUAGUUCUUAGUUAAUGUGUUAUCCUAUCUCCUUCCAAUGCAACCCUAACUUAUCAGAUAUUUAUGAGAGACUUUCAAUGUCAUAGGUUGCAAACAGUUAAGAGGACUUGCAUAUAUCUUUAAUAUCUCAAGAGUUUAUCAUAACAAGCACCAUGAAAAGGCAAUAACCAAAAACUAGGCAUCAAUGUAGCUUCAGCAAUGAAUUUCUCCAUUUCAUUGAUAUUGAGAUUUCAGUCUUCUGCAUUCAUCUCAAAGCAAAAUGAACUAAUGAGGAAUAAAAAUAUCCUCUGUUAUUUUUUAUGUGAUUUGAAUUUUGGAUAUGUUUUUAUGGAUUCGAAUUGUGACUCGACUAGAAAGUUUCGCAUUGUGACCCGAUUGAGAUAAAAAGUGAACCAGUGAUCUCGUUGGGGGUGCGGGGGC
rnacentral:misc_RNA from 1 species